GGUGCUGGAAGGUUAAGAGGAGCGCUUAGCGUAAGCGAAGGUGCGAAUUGAAGCCCCAGUAAACGGCGGCCGUAACUAUAACGGUCCUAAGGUAGCGAAAUUCCUUGUCGGGUAAGUUCCGACCCGCACGAAAGGCGCAACGAUCUGGGCACUGUCUCAACGAGAGCCUCGGUGAAAUUAUAGUACCUGUGAAGAUGCAGGUUACCCGCGACAGGACGGAAAGACCCCGUGGAGCUUUACUGCAGCCUGAUAUUGAAUGUUGGUACAGCUUGUACAGGAUAGGUAGGAGCCUUGGAAACCGGAGCGCCAGCUUCGGUGGAGGCAUCGGUGGGAUACUACCCUGGCUGUAUU
rnacentral:rRNA from 1 species